rnacentral:rRNA from 1 species
CCUACGGGUGGCAGCAGUGAGGAAUAUUGGUCAAUGGACGAGAGUCUGAACCAGCCACGUAGCGUGAAGGAUGACGGCCCUAUGGGUUGUAAACUUCUUUUAUAUGGGAAUAAAAUGUUCCACGUGUGGGAUUUUGUAUGUACCAUAUGAAUAAGGAUCGGCUAACUCCGUGCCAGCAGCCGCGGUAAUACGGAGGAUCCGAGCGUUAUCCGGAUUUAUUGGGUUUAAAGGGAGAGUAGGUGGAAUGUUAAGUGAGUUGUGAAAGUGUGGGGCUCAACCGUGAAAUUGCAGUUGAAACUGGCAGUCUUGAGGACAGUAGAGGUGGGCGGAAUUCGUGGUGUAGCGGUGAAAUGCUUAGAUAUCACGAAGAACUCCGAUUGCGAAGGCAGCUCACUGGACUGUAACUGACGUUGAGGCUCGAAAGCGUGGGGAGCAAACAGGAUUAGAUACCCGUGUAGUC